UGAGGAAUAUUGGACAAUGGGUGGAAGCCUGAUCCAGCCAUCCCGCGUGAAGGAAUAAGGGCCUAUGGCUUGUAAACUUCUUUUGUACAGGGAUAAACCUACCCUCGUGAGGGUAGCUGAAGGUACUGUACGAAUAAGCACCGGCUAACUCCGUGCCAGCAGCCGCGGUAAUACGGAGGGUGCAAGCGUUAUCCGGAUUUAUUGGGUUUAAAGGGUCCGUAGGCGGGCUUAUAAGUCAGUGGUGAAAGCCGGCAGCUUAACUGUCGAACUGCCAUUGAUACUGUAAGUCUUGAGUAUAUUUGAGGUAGCUGGAAUAAGUAGUGUAGCGGUGAAAUGCAUAGAUAUUACUUAGAACACCAAUUGCGAAGGCAGGUUACCAAGUUAUAACUGACGCUGAUGGACGAAAGCGUGGGGAGCGAACA
rnacentral:rRNA from 1 species